GGAGUUAGGAUUAGGUCGUGGA
rnacentral:miRNA from 1 species